UACGAACUGUGCGAACGUUAUUCGGAAUCACUGGGCUUACAGGGUGCGUAGGCGGCUCAACAAGUCAGGUGUGAAAGCCCCCGGCUCAACCGGGGAACUGCGCUUGAAACUGUUAGGCUCGAGUCAGCUAGAGGUACACGGAACUUCCAGUGGAGCGGUGAAAUGUGUUGAUAUUGGAAGGAACACCGGAGGCGAAAGCGGUGUACUGGGGCUGGUCUGACGCUGAGACGCGAAAGCGUGGGGAGCAAACAGG
rnacentral:rRNA from 1 species